AUGUCAGCGUUGGAGAAGGAAUGUGAUUUGAGGAAAGUGACGGUGGUGAGGAUAUCUGGAUCUUGGAAAACAGUGUAUUCGAUGCGUUUAAGUUGGAACACUUCUCAGUCAAUCCAAGGUAUGCUAAAUCACGUCAGACUCUAUUUCUCUUUCAUUUCUUUUUCUGAGUCCGCCUUCUUUUUGUUCUUCCCGUUUCUGAAUUUGAGCUAUGUGUUUAUCUUGUCUGUAAUUUGUGUUGUUAUUUUCCACUGUUCGUAUGGUUGGUAA